rnacentral:tRNA from 1 species
GGCAUCGUGGCCGAGUGGCUAGGCGGAGCUCUGCAAAAGCUUUUACAGCGGUUCGAAUCCGCUCGAUGCCU